GCACAGACAUGGUAGAAACCCAGCUUUGGUAAUGCUGAUGAGCACAUCAGGGAAUGGUGAUGCAGCAGAAAGGAAGAAACCUGUGUUGUUUGAUGACCUUCACCACCUGGACCAGAGGGACUGUAAUGUGAGAAAUACAUUUCUAUCUAAUCUAGUUCCACUUGCCCAUAGGGGGUCGCUCGCAGAUGCCUCCAAUCCGGCGUUUCAGACCAGAGCUCCCCGUGAGAAACGCCUGCCCGGACACCUCAGCUCGGCGUCCUGUGUGCAAAAGGGCUGCUCACGGCACUGCGAUUCAAGAUGGCGGAUGCGGGCCGUGCGCAGAGACUCUGCGCCCAGCACCGUGAUCUGGGGCCUGAACAGCGCAGCUGCACCUGCCUUGCAACAACUCCACCUCCCUCGCCUCUGCCAAGAUCCCUAUAAAGCAGGCUGGCCCACGGCCAAUCGGGAGAUCACGUGCUCUAGAGCUCUCGCCCCUCCAUUCUCUGAUCACAGAAUAAAGCUUGUCUUUGCUUCUGAACCCAACUUGGUCUUGUUCUAUUGGCUUGAUCAACACUGGGCGGAAGGACCCUUGCUGGGGACUGACUCUGGAGGAUUCGUAACACUUAAAAAAGAAAGUGACCACUGAGUUCGAGUUCAUGGAGAAUGCCAUUUCUUCUGCACAUUCAAAUGUGACCUGCCAUAAGGACCCUGGAGGCCACAUAUUCCGGAUGGCAGAGCUACAGGAUAGAGGAGAGCCACCCACCAUAUUGGACUUAAUUUACAAUAUUAAUCUAAGGGCUGGAGUGGAACAGCCAUCUUAGAUCAGGAGGCAGAAGCAGUAUAUUGAAGAUGGUAGAGCAAAACAACAAAAGAAGCCUGGGUUUCUGACACCAUACCUGCCAUGGACACCAUAUGUUUGGAUUGUUAAACAAGAGUGAAACUAAUAUCUAUCUGACUUAACCCACAAUUCUUUUUGGAUUUCUCUUAACUGAGGUCAUGCUAACUCUAACUAAUACAAAGGUAUUGAGAAUCUAAAUUAUCAUGGCAUUUAUGGAAAUGAAAAUAAAGACAGAUCUGAGGUGCGAUAUGACAAACAGAAUUUGUAUCUCCAAGCUGAACAGCCUUCCCUUCCCUUUCAUUUCCUAAAAUGACCCUGACUUCUUACUGUACUGCCUAUGUCUCCUCUUCUCCCUUGACCUCCCACUUACUAAGUUCACUAGUGCCUUCCUAUAAACAAGGGUAAUCACUCUAACCCUGCCUUUCUGGCACCAAACUGUCCCAAUUCCUAAUUUUCCAAGCACAGUCCUAAAGUUGUAUUACCUCCACACACGCUUUCCCUCUUCCUACUUGCAGGCUCUCACCACGCCGCUCCACGUUGCACACCACCCCUCCAGCUGUACUCCUGCACACCACAUUCACCACGCCACAACCCCGACUGAAAACCAUUAAUGACUGCUUAUUGGCUAAAUAGCCAUGCUACCGCCUUUCACCUCCCAACCUCGCGAUGGACACAACAGAGAAUGCAAAGCAAUCACAGCAGUGCUCUCCAAAAGAGCAGCCCAGAAGCCUUCCCAAAAGAAUGUUUCA